ACUUCUCGGCGGUUCCUGAAACGCUCAGGCUGGAGGGAGUUUAAGAGCCUACACAACUCACUAAUGGGAGAGACCUCACGCUUCUCCGAGUGAUUUGCUACCCUGUAUUGAAAGAAGUCGGGAUGAUGCCACAUUCCCAAGGGAUACCAGAAGAACUCAAUUUUUCUUCUUUCAUUUUCAAAUUUUCCAUCAAAACUCACGGUCUUUUCAUACUGCCAUGUCUUCUUGCACUCUACGGAUGAUAGCAAUUUUCUGAACUCAUUCUGGAUCCUGAAGUAGAUGCUUUUCAGAGCUUCCAGGAUGAGUUCUUCUGCAGGAAACAGUUUGAAAAUAACAGAGCUAGGCAGUCCUGCGGUCGUCAAGAAAGAGCCUAUAAGAAUCCACAUGCAAGCAAAACAAAAUGAGUUCUAUCCUUGGCCUUGAGGAACUCCAGACCACUGAAGAAAUGGGCAUGGGCAUCAGAAGAGAUUUGUGUCAUUUUGGUAGAUUUGAGUAUAUGCAGUUAUACACAUAUAUACAACGCCAGUAAGUAUAUACUUGAUUUUGUUGUGUGUUUCUGGGAUUCAGGACACACGAACCCAAAAUGUGCCACCUUGGAAUACUGAAUACUUUAUGCCAAAGGAGUUUGAGAAAAUGGCAGAAGCAGGAAGGUCACUCUGAUUUUGCCCCCACCCUUUUCCCCUGAAACGGGUCAAAAAACUUGUAAAUGAGAGGCGCCUGCCCUAUACAUAGAGGAAAGGAGCAUCUUUAUCUCUGAAGACAAAGGGAACCAAGAAGAAAAAGGCCUUGCUAAGUUUCCCCCAGUUUACUAUACUUACCUCGUACUCCUUAACUUAUGUUCCUCCAGGACUGUACAUUUGUCACCACACCUAACAUAAAAAUACUCAGGUCUGUUUCUUUGUGUCUUUGUUUCCUUAUAAAGGCUCCUGUGCCAUGUAAACCUUAUAUGAAAUAAAUUUGUAUGCUUUUCUCCUGUUUAGCUUUGUCAGUUUAGCUUUCAGGCCCAGCCAGGGACCCUAAAUAGGUCA